rnacentral:rRNA from 1 species
AAUACAUGCAAGUCGAACGCGAAAGUCCUUCGGGAUGAGUAAAGUGGCGCACGGGUGAGUAAUACAUGGGAACAUGCCCUCAAAUGGGGAAUAACGUUUGGAAACGAACGCUAAUACCGCAUAAUCUCGCAAGAGUAAAGGUGGCGCCGUAAGGGCUACCGUUUGAGGAUUGGCCCAUGUCCCAUUAGCUAGUUGGCGGGGUAAUGGCCCACCAAGGCAACGAUGGGUAACUGGUCUGAGAGGAUGAUCAGUCACACUGGAACUGAGACACGGUCCAGACUCCUACGGGAGGCAGCAGUAGGGAAUAUUGCACAAUGGAGGAAACUCUGAUGCAGCAACGCCGCGUGAGUGAAGAAGGCCCUUGGGUCGUAAAGCUCUUUAUCGAGGGAAGAAGCUGAUUAUGGUGAAUAAUCAUGAUUGGUGACGGUACCUCGAGAAUAAGCACCGGCUAAUUUCGUGCCAGCAGCCGCGGUAAUACGGAAGGUGCAAGCGUUACUCGGAAUCACUGGGCGUAAAGCGCACGUAGGCGGACUCGUAGGUCAAUUGUGAAAUACCUGAGCUCAACUCAGGAAUUGCAGCUGAAACCGCUUGUCUUGAAUACCUGAGAGGGUGGGGGAAUACCUGGUGGAGAAGUGAAAUUCGUAGAGAUCAGGUGGAACACCGGAGGCGAAGGCGCCUGCCUGCAUGUAUUGACCCUGAGGUGCAAAAGUGCGGGGAGCAAACAGGAUUAGAUCCCUUGUAAUCCGCACCGUAAACGAAUGGAUACUANGG